GAUCAUGGCUCAGGAUGAACGCUAGCUACAGGCUUAACACAUGCAAGUCGAGGGGCAGCGGGAUUGAAGCUUGCUUCAAUUGCCGGCGACCGGCGCACUGGUGAGUAACGCGUAUCCAACCUUCCGCUUACGUCGGGGGUAGCCUUUCGAAAGAAAGAUUAAUACCCGAUGGUAUCUUAAGCACGCAUGAGAUUAAGAUUAAAGAUUUAUCGGUAAGCGAUGGGGAUGCGUUCCAUUAGG
rnacentral:rRNA from 1 species